rnacentral:rRNA from 1 species
GGUGGCGGCCGCCUAAGGGUGGAUCAACCUGCCCUGCACUCUGGGACAAGCCCUGGAAACGGGGUCUAAUACCGGAUAUGACCGUCUUGGGCAUCCUUGACGGUGUAAAGCUCCGGCGGUGCAGGAUGAGCCCGCGGCCUAUCAGCUUGUUGGUGAGGUAGUGGCUCACCAAGGCGACGACGGGUAGCCGGCCUGAGAGGGCGACCGGCCACACUGGGACUGAGACACGGCCCAGACUCCUACGGGAGGCAGCAGUGGGGAAUAUUGCACAAUGGGCGAAAGCCUGAUGCAGCGACGCCGCGUGAGGGAUGACGGCCUUCGGGUUGUAAACCUCUUUCAGCAGGGAAGAAGCGAGAGUGACGGUACCUGCAGAAGAAGCGCCGGCUAACUACGUGCCAGCAGCCGCGGUAAUACGUAGGGCGCAAGCGUUGUCCGGAAUUAUUGGGCGUAAAGAGCUCGUAGGCGGCUUGUCACGUCGGUUGUGAAAGCCCGGGGCUUAACCCCGGGUCUGCAGUCGAUACGGGCAGGCUAGAGUUCGGUAGGGGAGAUCGGAAUUCCUGGUGUAGCGGUGAAAUGCGCAGAUAUCAGGAGGAACACCGGUGGCGAAGGCGGAUCUCUGGGCCGAUACUGACGCUGAGGA